CACUUAUCGAAACACACAUGGCACAAACUUUAUAUUUUUAUACGAAAGUUGGUCAAACGUUAGAAUUAACCAAAAACUUAUCGGUGUUAUGACGAAAAGAAACAAUGCUUACUGGCGGGAGGCACCUUCAUACCACAUCGGCGCCACGUUAGCCAGCAUAUAUUCAAUUAAAUAAAAUACAAAAUAAUUUUUUAAAACAAACCCUCUGUCUUUCUCUCGCCGUCUCUCUCCCUCACCUAGUCUGCUUCGAGUGUCUUCUUCAAUCGUCUCCUGCGGUGGAACCUUCCCAGACAAGGAAAGAGAACCGUCGGCGGGUGUCGAUCCCAUCCCUUUGUGAGGAAGAAGAAAACCCAUAGCAAGACUAAAAAUUCCUCUCUUUUCCUCUUUCUGCCGACUCUUUCCUCUCUCACUCUCUCGUCUCUCUAUCUCUGUCUCCACCAUUAACCUCAUCCUCUCAACCUUAGCUUGUUUUUUCCUUCUUCAUUUACCCAAACCUAGCUAACUACUUCUUCUGAAAUCUGACUACCCUUUUUUGCUACACUUGCAUCCUUCGUCAGUUUGCAAGUGUUAGUCGAUGCCUUGUCCGUCUUCCGUCCCUUUCUCGUUUCAUCUCGCCUAUUGAGAGUCAUCAUAGAUCUUAUUAGUCACCGUGAUUUUCAAAAUUCCCAUCUUUCCUAGCUUUUAUUCCACGAGUUGAGGGUUAGGGUUUGGUGAUUCUUGAUGCUAUCCUGUUGGAAUAAUGUGGUGAUUGAAAUGUAAAGAAUGGAAGUUUGAUGAUUGAUAUGUGAAAAUAUGAAAUUGGGUGAUUGUUUUGUAAAGUAAAAAAAAUUAUUGAGAGAAGCAGAGGAAGCAAGCUGCUUCUUGUCUUUGUUUUUGUUUUUGGAAUUGCUUGGAUUGAUUGAUACACAAUAGAUGUAAAGCUUUAUAUAGCCUUUACAAACUUAACAAGACAAAACACAUUUAUUUCAUCAUCUUAUCACAACUAAUUUUAUUUAAUUUUGGUGGCUUGAUAAUGGAGAUUUGUUGGUGGCUUGUUGGUGAAUUGUUGGUGGCUUAUUGUCUAUAAAGUGAGUGAAAGAUCCAUAUUUUAACAUAUCCAACUGGGUAGUUGGGAUUUUGUGGGUUUCUAGCUUCGUCUAUGAUGUCCUCUACUCUGCUCUGUUUUUGCCCAAAUUGAUCGGCAUAAUCGAGGGGUUUUGCUCUGUCUAUCCGUUUGAUGUCUCGUCUCUGAGAAAAUUAAAGGUGGGAUGUCUAGACAGCCGCACAGAGCUGGGAGGAAAGUUCAGUGGAAUGACAACAAUGGUCAUAAGCUCGUCGAGAAUCUAGAGUUUGAACCCAGGUAAAAAC
rnacentral:lncRNA from 1 species